rnacentral:rRNA from 1 species
CAGCACCUCAAGUGGUCAGGAUGAUUAUUGGGCCUAAAGCAUCCGUAGCCGGCGCUGUAGGUUUUCGGUUAAAUCUGUACGCUCAACGUACAGGCUGCCGGGAAUACUGCAGAGCUAGGGAGUGGGAGAGGCAGACGGUACUCGGUAGGAAGGGGUAAAAUCCUUUGAUCUAUUGAUGACCACCUGUGGCGAAGGCGGUCUACCAGAACACGUCCGACGGUGAGGGAUGAAAGCUGGGGGAGCAAACCGGAUUAGAUACCCGAGUAGUCC